CCUUUCCCCACCUAGUCCACCAAAACAACCAAGUUCAUCAUUGCCUAGCUGUAGUAGAGACACAAGGCAGUAUCCAUAUCAAGGAAAGGAGAAGGAGAAGCGCAAGUGUGGGAAAAAGUCAGUGGAAGAUGUUUACAGGUUGCAGUGUGAAGUGCUUGAGGAGGAGAAAGAGAAGAUCAAGAAGGAAAAGGAAAAGCUGGAUCUGCAAAUUCAACUUCUUCAUUCAAUUCUUAAAAAACAGGAUUAUGACCAGACAGAGCUCUUUGCCUCCUUCAUGUAAACCAAAUAAUGCUUUAAUAUUAUAACUGCCAAGCUUUCCAUUUAUUACAUGUACUUAGUCCCCUAGUCUCUGAUAUCUGCAUAUAACUAUAGGAGUAGGACUCACCCAAUCUUAAUUUAAUUAAUUUUUCACCCUAAAGUGAAUGUAUAUAAACAUCUCCAUUCAUAUUCAUUAUUGCAUGCCUCCCACUUUCAAAGUUUAGGGGAAAUUGAAUCUUAUUCAUCUGUCCGUCCGUCAGUCUGUUACAAAAAUUUUAACUUUGGCCACAACUUUUGCUCCAGAAGAGAUGUCCUUUCACUUUUUUUCAUAUGUGCAUUAUUUGUGUUAUUGAUAUUUGAUAAAUUUUAGUAAAAUGUGAUAUAAAAAUAGAAACAUACAUUCUCCCAGAAUUGAAAAUUCACAUGUAAA